rnacentral:rRNA from 1 species
UACGUAGGGUGCGAGCGUUAAUCGGAAUUACUGGGCGUAAAGCGUGCGCAGGCGGUCUUGCAAGACAGGUGUGAAAUCCCCGGGCUUAACCUGGGAACUGCACUUGUGACUGCAAGGCUGGAGUGCGGCAGAGGGGGAUGGAAUUCCGCGUGUAGCAGUGAAGUGCGUAGAUAUGCGGAGGAACACCGAUGGCGAAGGCAAUCCCCUGGGCCUGCACUGACGCUCAUGCACGAAAGCGUGGGGAGCAAACAGG